CCCUUAGAUGUUCGGGGCCGCACGCGCGCUACACUGAAGGACUCAGCGUGUCUCUCCCCCUAUCCCGAAAGGGAUGGGCAACCCGUUGAACCUCCUUCGUGCUAGGGAUUGGGGUUUGCAAUUAUCCCCCAUGAACGAGGAAUUCCCAGUAAGUGCGGGUCAUCAGCUCGCGUUGAUUACGUCCCUGCCCUUUGUACACACCGCCCGUCGCUGCCCGGAACUGAGCCGUUUCGAGAAGACUGAGGAUUGCUGACUUGAGGCCUUCACGGGCUUCUAGUCGGUGAAAAUCAAUUUAAUCGCAGCGGCUUGAACCGGGCAAAAGUCGUAACA
rnacentral:rRNA from 1 species